rnacentral:rRNA from 1 species
UACGUAGGGUGCGAGCGUUAAUCGGAAUUACUGGGCGUAAAGCGUGCGCAGGCGGCUUUGCAAGACAGAGGUGAAAUCCCCGGGCUCAACCUGGGGACUGCCUUUGUGACUGCAAGGCUAGAGUACGGCAGAGGGAGAUGGAAUUCCGCGUGUAGCAGUGAAAUGCGUAGAUAUGCGGAGGAACACCGAUGGCGAAGGCAAUCUCCUGGGCCUGUACUGACGCUCAUGCACGAAAGCGUGGGGAGCAAACAGG